rnacentral:tRNA from 1 species
GCGCCGUUAGCCCAGUUGGAUAGAGCAACGGACUUCUAAUCCGAAGGUCGAGGGUUCGAAUCCCCCACGGCGCACCA